rnacentral:rRNA from 1 species
UUGCCAGCCCGCUACAGAAACUUAAAGGAAAGUUCGACGGGGGCCCGCACAAGCGGAGGAGCAUGUGGUUAAUUCGAUGAUACGCGAGGAACCUUACCUGGGCUCGAACGUAAGAUGACUGUAGGUGAAAGCUUACAUCUCUUCGGAGCAUUUUACGAGGUGCUGCAUGGUUGUCGUCAGCUCGUGCCGUGAGGUGUCGGGUUAAGUCCCAUAACGAGCGCAACCCCUACCUUUAGUUGCCAUCAGGUUAAGCUGGGGACUCUAAAGGAACUGCCUACGCAAGUAGUGAGGAAGGCGGGGAUGACGUCAAAUCAGCACGGCCCUUACGUCCAGGGCUACACACGUGCUACAAUGGCCGAUACAGAGGGCAGCUACCUGGUGACAGGAUGCAAAUCUCCAAAGUCGGUCUCAGUUCGGAUCGGAGUCUGCAACCCGACUCCGUGAAGUUGGAUUCGCUAGUAAUCGCGCAUCAGCCAUGGCGCGGUGAAUACGUUCCCGGGCCUU